AUAACUCGACCGUCCCUAUCCAGUGACAUUAUAUAUUAGUAUAUGUAUGCGCAUAGACUAAUAUUAUAAUACGUGUGUCGUGUGAGAGAGUUAAUAAUACGAGGUAAUGAUAAUGGACGAGGAGGGUGAUUCAUGAAAGUCCAAUAAGAUAGAAAAGGAAAUAUGAAAAUAUGAAGUCAAAGGCAGAGUGCACUUAUGGGUUUUGU